GAUGAACGCUAGCGAUAGGCUUAACACAUGCAAGUCGAGGGGCAGCACGCUUUCGGGUGGUGGCGACCGGCGCACGGGUGAGUAACGGGUAUGCAACCUGCCUUCAAAUGGGGGAUAACCCGGAGAAAUCCGGACUAAUACCGCAUAGUACUGAGUUACCGCAUGGUAAUUUAGUUAAAGAUUAAUUGUUUGAAGAUGGGCAUGCUUUCCAUUAGGUAGUUGGUAGGGUAACGGCCUACCAAGCCAUCGAUGGAUAGGGGCACUGAGAGGCUUGUCCCCCACACUGGGACUGAGACACGGCCCAAACUCCUACGGGAGGCAGCAGUGGGGAAUAUUGCACAAUGGGGGAAACCCUGAUGCAGCGACGCCGCGUGAAGGAAGAAGUAUUUAGGUAUGUAAACUUCUAUCAGUGGGGAAGAAAAUGACGGUACCCAACUAAGAAGCCCCGGCUAAUUACGUGCCAGCAGCCGCGGUAAUACGUAAGGGGCAAGCGUUAUCCGGAUUUACUGGGUGUAAAGGGAGCGUAGGCGGCAUGGCAAGUCAGAUGUGAAAACCCAAGGCUCAACUUUGGGACUGCAUUUGAAACUGCCAAGCUAGAUUGCAGGAGAGGUAAGUGGAAUUCCUAGUGUAGCGGUGGAAUGCGUAGAUAUUAGGAGGAACACCAGUGGCGAAGGCGGCUUACUGGACUGUAAAUGACGCUGAGGCUCGAAAGCGUGGGGAGCAAACAGGAUUAGAUACCCUGGUAGUCCGCACCGUAAACGAUGAUAACUCGCUGUCGGCGAUAUUACAGUCGGUGGCCAAGCGAAAGCGAUAAGUUAUCCACCUGGGGAGUACGUUCGCAAGAAUGAAACUCAAAGGAAUUGACGGGGGCCCGCACAAGCGGAGGAACAUGUGGUUUAAUUCGAUGAUACGCGAGGAACCUUACCCGGGCUCGAACGGCUAAAGAAUAAUGGGGAAACUCAUUAGUCAGCAAUGACUUUAGUCGAGGUGCUGCAUGGUUGUCGUCAGCUCGUGCCGUGAGGUGUCGGCUUAAGUGCCAUAACGAGCGCAACCCUUAUCAUUAGUUACCGUCGGGUUAAGCCGGGGACUCUAGUGAGACUGCCGCCGUAAGGUGCGAGGAAGGUGGGGAUGACGUCAAAUCAGCACGGCCCUUACGUCCGGGGCGACACACGUGUUACAAUGGGUGGUACAGCGGGUAGCUACUUGGCGACAAGAUGCCAAUCCCGAAAACCACUCCCAGUUCGGAUUGGAGUCUGCAACCCGACUCCAUGAAGCUGGAUUCGCUAGUAAUCGCGCAUCAGCCAUGGCGCGGUGAAUACGUUCCCGGGCCUUGUACACACCGCCCGUCAAGCCAUGGAAGCCGGGGGUACCUGAAGUACGUGACCGUUAAGGAGCGUCCUAGGGUAAAACUGGUAACUGGGGCU
rnacentral:rRNA from 1 species